AGUCGACGAUGAAUCUUCUAGCUUGCUAGAAGUGGAUUAGUGGCGCACGGGUGAGUAAUGCAUAGGUUAUGUGCCCUUUAGUCUGGGAUAGCCACUGGAAACGGUGAUUAAUACUGGAUACUCCCUACGGGGGAAAGUUUUUCGCUAAAGGAUCAGCCUAUGUCCUAUCAGCUUGUUGGUGAGGUAAUAGCUCACCAAGGCUAUGACGGGUAUCCGGCCUGAGAGGGUGAUCGGACACACUGGAACUGAGACACGGUCCAGACUCCUACGGGAGGCAGCAGUAGGGAAUAUUGCUCAAUGGGGGAAACCCUGAAGCAGCAACGCCGCGUGGAGGAUGAAGGUUUUAGGAUUGUAAACUCCUUUUGUUAGAGAAGAUUAUGACGGUAUCUAACGAAUAAGCACCGGCUAACUCCGUGCCAGCAGCCGCGGUAAUACGGAGGGUGCAAGCGUUACUCGGAAUCACUGGGCGUAAAGAGUGCGUAGGCGGGGUAAUAAGUCAGAUGUGAAAUCCUGUAGCUUAACUACAGAACUGCAUUUGAAACUGUUACUCUGGAGUGUGGGAGAGGUAGGUGGAAUUCUUGGUGUAGGGGUAAAAUCCGUAGAGAUCAAGAGGAAUACUCAUUGCGAAGGCGACCUGCUGGAACAUUACUGACGCUGAUGCACGAAAGCGUGGGGAGCAAACAGGAUUAGAUACCCUGGUAGUCCACGCCCUAAACGAUGGAUGCUAGUUGUUGCCUUGCUUGUCAGGGCAGUAAUGCAGCUAACGCAUUAAGCAUCCCGCCUGGGGAGUACGGUCGCAAGAUUAAAACUCAAAGGAAUAGACGGGGACCCGCACAAGCGGUGGAGCAUGUGGUUUAAUUCGAAGAUACGCGAAGAACCUUACCUAGGCUUGACAUUGAU
rnacentral:rRNA from 1 species